UGUUAGCAGAGAAAAUUACUUCAAAACAAAAAAUUAUAUUAUUGAUCGAAAAUUUUAGAGAGAAUUUCUUUCAACUAAAUUUCCUGAACACCUAUUGAAAAACAAGCAAUUAUUGACUAAAGUACUAAAUCGUGACAAAUUGUAAUCAAUUUUAUUGCUAUUAAAAUUGUCAGCUAGAUUAUAGAUAACGUUUGAAAUCUAUAUAAUUGGAAUUUAUUACAAGUGGAAAUUAUUUGUCGAAGAUUUAAGCAAUAGUCCAGCUAUUGAUUGUGUUGUGUGUGUUAUUUCUCCCCAAAAAACGUCAUCAAGUUCAAGCUUUCUGUACAGAAAGAUCUGCUGCCCUAUUAUGUCUUAUGGAUAAAAUAAAUAAAAGUGAAAUUUAUUUAAGAAGAGGCUGGCCUCGAAAUUGAGAAUUUCCGAUGUUUGCAGAUCACAAAGUCAAAGAAAUAAUUUUGUAACGGCGCUGAGUUUCACAAACAUUUUGGUGUCCGUCAAUCCAUUAUCCAUUAAUGUCCACAAUCAUUAAAACAGAUAUUGAUGAAUGCUCAAGUAAACAAUAAACAACCAUAGCUGAAAAGAUGAUGUAAUGUUAGAGCCAUUUUCUGAUCUUGAAAUCUACAGAAACUCAUAAGCUAAUCUAAUAUUGACAAAUUUACAUCAAUAGAAAGUAACGAAUUUACACCAAUAGAAAGUAACGAAGACAUUUUUUAUAAACUUUAAAAAAUAUAUUUUAAAUAAAACUUAAUUAAUUGAAA